GAGGGGCGGACGGGUGAGUAACGGCUGGGAACCUGCCCUGACGAGGGGGAUAACCGUUGGAAACGACGGCUAAUACCGCAUAAUGUCUUGAUUCGUUAGAGUCAGGACCAAAGGUGGCCUCUACAUGUAAGCUAUCGCGUUGGGAUGGGCCCAGUUAGGAUUAGCUAGUUGGUAAGGUAAUGGCUUACCAAGGCAACGAUCCUUAGCUGGUUUGAGAGGAUGAUCAGCCACACUGGGACUGAGACACGGCCCAGACUCCUACGGGAGGCAGCAGUGGGGAAUAUUGCACAAUGGGGGAGACCCUGAUGCAGCCAUGCCGCGUGUGUGAAGAAGGCCUUCGGGUUGUAAAGCACUUUCAGCAGUGAGGUAGGUCGUGUACUUAAUACGUGCACGGCUUGACGUUAGCUGCAGAAGAAGCACCGGCUAACUCCGUGCCAGCAGCCGCGGUAAUACGGAGGGUGCGAGCGUUAAUCGGAAUUACUGGGCGUAAAGCGCAUGCAGGCGGUUUGUUAAGUCAGAUGUGAAAGCCCGGGGCUCAACCUCGGAACCGCAUUUGAAACUGGCAGGCUAGAGUCUUGUAGAGGGGGGUAGAAUUUCAGGUGUAGCGGUGAAAUGCGUAGAGAUCUGAAGGAAUACCAGUGGCGAAGGCGGCCCCCUGGACAAAGACUGACGCUCAGAUGCGAAAGCGUGGGUAGCAAACAGGAUUAGAUACCCUGGUAGUCCACGCCGUAAACGCUGUCUACUUGGAGGUUGAGGUUUUAGACUUUGGCUUUCGGCGCUAACGCAUUAAGUAGACCGCCUGGGGGAGUACGGCCGCAAGGUUAAAACUCAAAUGAAAUUGACGGGGGCCCGCAC
rnacentral:rRNA from 1 species